rnacentral:tRNA from 1 species
AGCCUCUGUGGUGUAAAAAACACACUAAGUUUUCAGUUUAGGGUUAAAGGUUUAAUCUUUCGGAGG